rnacentral:rRNA from 1 species
GCUAGUAAUGGCAGGUCAGCAUACUGCCGUGAAUACGUUCCCGGGCCUUGUACACACCGCCCGUCACACCAUGAGAGUUAGGAAUACCCGAAGCCUGUGAGCCAACUUUAUAAGAGGCAGCAGUCGAAGGUAGAACUAAUGAUUGGGGUGAAGUCGUAACAAGGUACC